rnacentral:tRNA from 1 species
AGCCUAAUGGAUAAGGCGCCUCCCUCCUAAGGAGGAGAAUGCGGGUUCGA